rnacentral:rRNA from 1 species
CGGGGUGAGUACAACAUAGGAAAUCUGCCUUAGGGUGGGGGACAACAGAGGGAAACUUCUGCUAAUACCCCAUAUGAGCUUGGUUGAAAUACCAAUCUUGAAAGUUCCGGCGCCCUAAGAUGAGCCUGUGCCUGAUUAGCUAGUUGGUGGUGUAAUGGACUACCAAGGCGACGAUCAGUAGCUGGUUUGAGAGGAUGAUCAGCCACAAUGGGACUGAGACACGGCCCAUACUCCUACGGAAGGCAGCAG